GGUGCUUGUAAGGAUUUGAGAAGUUUGUAUCAGGAAGUUGGGAGUUGAAUUAGAGGCAAUCUUACCAUUGAGACCAUGUAUUAUUUCUAUGGGACUGUGAAGUAGUUACUGUCCCAGUGAAGCUUUCUUUUUCAGGACACAAUGACUCUGGUUAAUUUACAUUUGAUUCUUUCAGGGAAAGAGUAAGCUAAGACAACUGAAUGCAAGUGCUUAUGAUCUAAUGAAGAGUUAACUUUUGAUUCACCAUCCCCUCUUCCCCAUUCCAGAAACUUUAAGUCCAUUGUUUGAGUGAUGUAUUGGUGAAGGGGAGAAAUCCUGCCUCCUAUGCCUUAAUAGUCACAUCAAAUAAUUUGAAAGGGAAGGGUUGAUAACUUGAUGACCAACUGCAGCAUCUUGAUGAAAAUAUAUUCAAUGAAACUCAGAUUAUUUAAAAUAUAUUUCCUGUGACCAGCAUCAGUUUCCUCUAGCAAUCCAAUUCACCCAAUUCUUCAAGCAAACUAUCAACAGGUGAUGCCACUCUUCUGUAAACCUGACCACUCAUGCCACGUGAGAGCACUGAAGCAAAUAGCUGCACAAGCCUUUGAAGUAGCCUCUGCAUAGGAAACUGGACACUCUACGGAAAAAAAAAUGACAGCCUGGCUUUUCAAAAGUAUUUUUCCUGCUCUUAACAACUCAAACUAGUAUUAUUUUUGUUUUGUAUUUUUUCCAUAUUUGGCUGAAAUUUUGUAGGGACCUUAGACAAUUAGUUUAUAGAGAGAUCUUUACAGAAAUGACAUGAUUUUUCACUCCCGCGUGUUUACCACUAUAAUCAAAGUUAUUCUUAAUAUCUAUGUUGCAAUUUCAAUGAAGAGAAUUAAGGUAGAGAAGAGGGGAUGACAGCAGGGAAAUUUACCAAGCCUACACAUUUAUAGAAAAGAAUUCUUGUAAAGCAAAACUACUCUUGCAGAAUCCAAGGUGAACUGGAAGGAGUUCGUGCCACCAAAUAUUCAUUUUCCCCUUGUGCAGAGAAUCAUGGGUUUUACUUUAAGUGUCAGAGAUCUAGAAAGAACUUGACCUUCUAUGUGCUUCACAGGUUUUUCCCAAGCUACCAAAUUCGUUUUAAAUAAUUCCAGCCAAAAGACUGUAAAUAUUUUUACUGUUACAUUCCUGUUCCUCUGCUGAGAAAGGCUUUAGUCUGCUGGCUCUCACUUGCAAACUCCCUCUCCCUCCUUACUUCUAGACUCCAGUUCACCACUAUAAACUUUAUUUAAGAAUAUGUGAAUUGUUUGGCUUUUCGAGUUUAAUGUGAAAUGAAUCACAUUACUUUUAACAUAUGGAUUCUAUAAAUUUGGGGAGAGUGUCCAACAGUAUUUUUAAACAUACACGUUAAGUUUUGUCCUAAGUUUUCAGAACAAAGAAGAAGCCACUUAAACUCAGAUUGUGAGGAGUGUCAUUUAUAAAUAAAUCAAUCCAAUCAGAUAACCUU